AUUGAACGCUGGCGGCAUGCCUUACACAUGCAAGUCGAACGGCAGCGGACCUUCGGGUGCCGGCGAGUGGCGAACGGGUGAGUAAUAUAUCGGAACGUACCUUUCAGUGGGGGGUAACGUAGCGAAAGUUACGCUAAUACCGCAUAUUCUGUGAGCAGGAAAGCAGGGGAUCGCAAGACCUUGCGCUGAUUGAGCGGCCGAUAUCAGAUUAGCUAGUUGGUGAGGUAAAGGCUCACCAAGGCGACGAUCUGUAGCGGGUCUGAGAGGAUGAUCCGCCACACUGGAACUGAGACACGGUCCAGACUCCUACGGGAGGCAGCAGUGGGGAAUUUUGGACAAUGGGCGCAAGCCUGAUCCAGCCAUGCCGCGUGCGGGAUGAAGGCCCUUGGGUUGUAAACCGCUGUCAGGGGGGAUGAAAGCGCAAGCUUGACAGAGCCCCAGAGGAAGCACGGGCUAAGUUCGUGCCAGCAGCCG
rnacentral:rRNA from 1 species